GCUACGAAAAGCAGCCUUCAGCACCCCCAAAAAGCAGCAUCAAUAAGGUGUGUGGUGGCCUUGGUUUUUGUUUCCUCUUAUUCUUGAAUUCUAGGUCGUCCCCUCAACUAACGAAGCAAUCCUGCUCCCCAAAGAGGCACCCAAACACUGCUCCUUGUGUUUCUGAAGGGUAUCCUGGCUCACUGGGUAGCUGUCAUCUCGUUUCAAAGUUACAAGCAGCUUAAGAGAGAACAGAAGAUGGGUUUUCUGCAGGCCAUGUGAUUCCAUCCAGCAAGCACAUGCCCCAGCAAGCUCAAAAGAAGAGUCAAUACCAGACAGAAG
rnacentral:lncRNA from 12 species